rnacentral:rRNA from 1 species
GAUGAACGCUGGCGGCGUGCCUAAUACAUGCAAGUCGAGCGAAUGGAUUAAGAGCUUGCUCUUAUGAAGUUAGCGGCGGACGGGUGAGUAACACGUGGGUAACCUGCCCAUAAGACUGGGAUAACUCCGGGAAACCGGGGCUAAUACCGGAUAACAUUUUGAACCGCGUGGUUCGAAAUUGAAAGGCGGCUUCGGCUGUCACUUAUGGAUGGACCCGCGUCGCAUUAGCUAGUUGGUGAGGUAACGGCUCACCAAGGCAACGAUGCGUAGCCGCCCGGAGAGGGUGAUCGGCCACACGGGGACUGAGACACGGCCCAGACUCCUACGGGAGGCAGCAGUAGGGAAUCUUCCGCAAUGGACGAAAGUCUGACGGAGCAACGCCGCGUGAGUGAUGAAGGCUUUCGGGUCGUAAAACUCUGUUGUUAGGGAAGAACAAGUGCUAGUUGAAUAAGCUGGCACCUUGACGGUACCUAACCAGAAAGCCACGGCUAACUACGUGCCAGCCGCCGCCGUAA